rnacentral:rRNA from 1 species
CAGCAGCCACGGUAACACGGAGGGUGCAAGCGUUAAUCGGAAUUACUGGGCGUAAAGCGCACGCAGGCGGUCUGACAAGUCAGAUGUGAAAUCCCCGGGCUUAACCUGGGAACUGCAUUUGAAACUGUCAGGCUGGAGUCUUGUAGAGGGGGGUGGAAUUCCAGGUGUAGCGGUGAAAUGCGUAGAGAUCUGGAGGAAUACCGGUGGCGAAGGCGGCCCCCUGGACAAAGACUGACGCUCAGGUGCGAAAGCGUGGGGAGCAAACAGGAUUAGAUACCCCUGUAGUCCCUGUCUCUUAUAC